rnacentral:rRNA from 1 species
UAGGGGAUCUUCGGCAAUGGACGGAAGUCUGACCGAGCAACGCCGCGUGAGUGAAGAAGGUUUUCGGAUCGUAAAGCUCUGUUGUAAGAGAAGAACGAGUGUGAGAGUGGAAAGUUCACACUGUGACGGUAUCUUACCAGAAAGGGACGGCUAACUACGUGCCAGCAGCCGCGGUAAUACGUAGGUCCCGAGCGUUGUCCGGAUUUAUUGGGCGUAAAGCGAGCGCAGGCGGUUAGAUAAGUCUGAAGUUAAAGGCUGUGGCUUAACCAUAGUAGGCUUUGGAAACUGUUUAACUUGAGUGCAAGAGGGGAGAGUGGAAUUCCAUGUGUAGCGGUGAAAUACGUAGAUAUAUGGAGGAACACCGGUGGCGAAAGCGGCUCUCUGGCUUGUAACUGACGCUGAGGCUCGAAAGCGUGGGGAGCAAACAGGAUUAGAUACCCUGGUAGUCCACGCUGUAAACGAUGAGUGCUAGGUGUUAGACCCUUUCCGGGGUUUAGUGCCGUAGCUAACGCAUUAAGCACUCCGCCUGGGGAGUACGACCGCAAGGUUG